UUAAGUUCAGCGGGUAUCCCUACCUGAUCCGAGGUCAAACUAUAGAGGGCUUGCUGGACGCUGGUCCACCAUAGCUUCAAGGAGCGCAAAUGUGCUGCGCUAGAAGCUGGCACGACCGCUGCCAAUAGCUUUAGGGCGAGUCCACGCACGGAGGCGGGACAGACACCCAACACCAAGCAGAGCUUGAGGGUGAUAAUGAC
rnacentral:misc_RNA from 1 species